rnacentral:lncRNA from 1 species
ACUGCACUCCAGCCUGGGUGACAGAGCAAGACUCCAUGUCGAAAAAUAAAAAAAAAAUUAAUAAAAAACUAAAAUAGCUGUAUGACUCCUCCCCCUUUUUAUUUGGGGGAGAGAGAGUUUGAGGUGGAGAGAGGAGAGAUGGGCAGGAAGGACGGGUUCUCACCACGCUUUCUCACUGGGGAGAGAACAGAAGUUUACUUCUUACUGGGUGGAGACACUUGGCAUUUGUAAAUGAGAAUACCAAUUUGAAGGAAGAUAAGAAAAAGAACAAAACCUCCUAGCAUAAACAGAGAUUGCUGGUGAGACAGCAGCCACUGCUCCCAGGCCCGACAACAGGGGCAGCACCAAAGCUGGUCAGUGUUUCCUCCUUACAGGUCUGAAGGUGCUGCAGAGGAGGGUGCUUCCCAGAGAUCACCCCUGUGACAGACAGAUCGAUUGAAGGACCCCUGAAUGGCUGAAUUGAGAAGAACAAGCAUAUUAGGAGGCCAUACAAUGGGAGCCUCUCAGGCAGACAGACAAAGCCGUGGAAACUGCAGACUUAUUUGUAUGUUCUGGUAAACACCUUUGCUUCAUUUUCCCCGUCUCCGCCUGGACUGAGGGUCACCUCACCUCUCCUGGUGUCCAGAGCCUCCUUCAGGACAGAUGUUGCAAACCUGAGUUCUCACAAACAGCGGGGUCCAGCCCUUCUCAACACUGGAAAGCCCUUGAGCCAUCUUUGAUUUGUGUGUUUUGAUCUAAUUGCACUACUGCUUGCAAUGCUUGUUUUUAGCGGUGAGUGCUGGUUUAAUUUGUUUCUUUCUGGUCUCCCAGCCCCACUCCAGAAUUUUGGCUCCUGGAGAGGAGGGGCCCUGAACUGGCAUUUUCAGUGAAGCAUCCCAGUGCCUUGAAUCCAGUAAGCAGCCAGGUGUCUGUUGGCUUCAUGGUUUAACAACCUACCAUUUGAAGAAUCGCAGAGAUGAAUUAAAAAGAGCCCCGGAGAGGCUCCCCGAUCCAGUUGCACUUCCUGCUUAAGCAAAGUAAAGAAAAACAGGAAUGAAAACAUAACCCAAUGGGUUAGUUCCAUGCUGGCCAUUGAUGAGGUUGCAGCCACCAUCAGAAGAAGGCCAAACGGUUAGAAAGACACGGCGGUGAGGAAGAUGAGCCUCAUUAUCGACUGUCACCUGCAGCCCUGCACAGGUGCUCAGAAUCUAACACUUGAUGGCUGGUUGAGAUUCCCGGAGUCCUAAUUAGGAAUGAGGAGUCAGGCUGGCAGGACCCAGGGAAAGCAAAAAGAGAAGGCAGAGAAGCUCCAAGUCUGCCUGUCUUCGUGAUCCAGAACACGUAGUCCUGCUGCACAAGUAACUCACAAUCUUCCUGUGUCCAGCUGUCAUUAGACCCUUGGCUGAUAGAAAAAUGCAAGUUAGCACACUGCAGCCUCGGUGUCGUCAGUACUGCACGUCACUCUCUCCAGCACACCGCGGCCUCGGCGUCAUCAGCACUGCACGUCGCUCUCUCCAGCACACCGCGGCCUCGGCGUCGUCAGCACUGCACGUCGCUCUCUCCAGCACACCGCGGCCUC